CUGGGCAGCCCUCACAUUCCUC
rnacentral:piRNA from 1 species